GCAGAUGUAGUUCAAUGGUAGAACUUCAGCCUUCCAAGCUGACUACGUCGGUCCGAUUCCGAUCAUCUGCUCCA
rnacentral:tRNA from 1 species